AACGCAACUUGCGCCCCUUGGUAUUCCGAGGGGCACGCCUGUUUGAGUGUCGUGAAUUCCUCCACCCACCAUCCUUUUUGUGUUGGUUGGGCUGGGACUUGGGGGCUUUUUGUGGGUCCUGAUUUUCUGGUCCACUCCCCUUGAAUGCAUGAGUGAAGACCCAUGCGGUCCUCGGUGUGAUAGAUAUCUACGCCAUGGAUCUGUGUGGACAGUGCUUUGCUUCGAACGGUCCCCUAGCUUGGGACAAACUAUAUCGACCACUUGACCUCAAAUCAGGCGGGACUACCCGCUGAACUUAA
rnacentral:misc_RNA from 1 species